CGGACGGGUGAGUAAUGUCUGGGAAACUGCCUGAUGGAGGGGGAUAACUACUGGAAACGGUAGCUAAUACCGCAUAAUGUCGCAAGACCAAAGAGGGGGACCUUCGGGCCUCUUGCCAUCGGAUGUGCCCAGAUGGGAUUAGCUGGUAGGUGGGGUAACGGCUCACCUAGGCGACGAUCCCUAGCUGGUCUGAGAGGAUGACCAGCCACACUGGAACUGAGACACGGUCCAG
rnacentral:rRNA from 1 species